GACGAACGCUGGCGGCGUGCUUAACACAUGCAAGUCGAGCGGUAAGGCCCUUUCGGGGGUACACGAGCGGCGAACGGGUGAGUAACACGUGGGUGACCUGCCCUCAGCUCUGGGAUAAGCCUGGGAAACCGGGUCUAAUACUGGAUAUGACUCCAUGACGCAUGUUGUGGGGUGGAAAGCCUUGUGCGGCUGAGGAUGGGCCCGCGGCCUAUCAGCUUGUUGGGGGGUGAUGGCCUACCAAGGCGACGACGGGUAGUCGGCCUGAGAGGGCGACCGGCCACACUGGGACUGAGACACGGCCCAGACUCCUACGGGAGGCAGCAGUGGGGAAUCUUGCGCAAUGGGCGAAAGCCUGACGCAGCGACGCCGCGUGAGGGAUGACGGCCUGG
rnacentral:rRNA from 1 species